UACGGAGGGCCCAAGCGUCCUGCGAUAUCAUUGGGUUUAAAGGUACCACAGGCGGGUUAAUAAGGCAGUGGUGAAAUCUCUCAUCUUAACUGGGAAACUGCCAUUGAUACUGCUACUCUUGAAUUCGGUCGAAGUACGCAGUAUGUGUCAUGUAGCGGUGAAAUGCAUACAUAUGACACAGAACACCGAUAGAGAAGGCUCCUUACUAGGUCUGAAUUGAUGCUCAAGGAAGAAAGCGUGGGGAGAAAACAGGAUUAGAUACCCUGGUAGUCCACGCCGUAAACGAUGAUUACUCGAUAUCAGCGAUAUACUGUUGGUGUCUAAGCGAAAGUGAUAAGUAAUCCACCUGGGGAGUACGAUCGCAAGGUUAAAACUCAAAGGAAUUGGCGGGGGCCCGCACAAGCGGUGGAGCAUGUGGUUUAAUUCGAUGAUACGCGAGGAACCUUACCAGGGCUUAAAUGUAGUCUGACAGGACUGGAAACAGUUUUUUCUUCGGUCAGAUUACAAGAUGCUGCAUGGCUGUCGUCAGCUCGUGCCGUGAGGUGGUGGGGUAAGUCCCGCAACGAGCGCAACCCCUAUCUUUAGUUGCCAGCGGAUAAUUCCGGGGACUCUAAAGAAACUGCCAGCGCAAGCUGAGAGGAAGGCGGGGGCGACGUCAAGUCAUCACGGCCCUUUCGUCCUGGGCCACACACGUGCUACAAUGGAUGGUACAGAAGGGCAGGCUUCCUAAGUGAUAGGAUGCAAAUCUCAAAAAACAAUCUCAGUUCGGAUCGGAGUCUGCAACUCGACUCCGUGAAGCAGGAAUCACUAGUAAUUAAAGCAUCAACACAUGAAUGCGGUGAAUACGUUGCCGGCGCC
rnacentral:rRNA from 1 species